rnacentral:rRNA from 1 species
UCCUACGGGAGGCAGCAGUGGGGAAUAUUGGACAAUGGGGGCAACCCUGAUCCAGCAAUGCCGCGUGAGUGAUGAAGGCCUUAGGGUUGUAAAGCUCUUUCGGCGGGGACGAUGAUGACGGUACCCGCAGAAGAAGCCCCGGCUAACUUCGUGCCAGCAGCCGCGGUAAUACGAAGGGGGCGAGCGUUGUUCGGAAUUACUGGGCGUAAAGGGCGCGCAGGCGGUCCUUCAAGUCAGGCGUGAAAGCCCCGGGCUCAACCUGGGAAUAGCGCUUGAGACUGGAGGACUUGAGGACGGGAGAGGAGAGUGGAAUUCCCAGUGUAGAGGUGAAAUUCGUAGAUAUUGGGAAGAACACCAAUGGCGAAGGCAGCUCUCUGGACCGUUACUGACGCUGAGGCGCGAAAGCGUGGGGAGCAAACAGGAUUAGAUACCCGUGUAGUCCC